rnacentral:rRNA from 1 species
AUUGAACGCUGGCGGCAGGCCUAACACAUGCAAGUCGAGCGAGCGGCGGACGGGUGAGUAAUGCCUGGGAAACUGCCUGAUGGAGGGGGAUCACUACUGGAAACGGUAGCUAAUACCGCAUACCAUCAGAUGUUCCCAGUUGGCAUGAGCUAGUAGGUGGGGUAACGGGUAACCUAGGCGACGAUCCCUAGCUGGUCUGACAGGCUAACCAGCCACACUGGAACUGAGACACGGUCCAGACUCCUACGGGAGGCAGCAGUGGGGAAUAUUGCACAAUGGGCGCAAGCCUGAUGAAGCCAUGCCGCGUGGGUGAAGAAGGCCUUCGGGUUGUAAAGCACUGUCAGCGGAGAGGCGUUACCCGCAGAAGAAGCACCGGCUAACUCCGUGCCAGCAGCCGCGGUAAUUC